CAGCAGCCACGGGAAUACGUAGGGUGCAAGCGUUAAUCGGAAUUACUGGGCGUAAAGCGUGCGCAGGCGGUUAUAUAAGACAGAUGUGAAAUCCCCGGGCUCAACCUGGGAACUGCAUUUGUGACUGUAUAGCUAGAGUACGGCAGAGGGGGAUGGAAUUCCGCGUGUAGCAGUGAAAUGCGUAGAUAUGCGGAGGAACACCGAUGGCGAAGGCAAUCCCCUGGGCCUGUACUGACGCUCAUGCACGAAAGCGUGGGGAGCAAACAGGAUUAGAGACCCCCGUAGUCCCUGUCUCUUAUAA
rnacentral:rRNA from 1 species